CCUACGGGGGGCAGCAGUGAGGAAUAUUGGUCGAUGGACGAGAGUCUGAACCAGCCAAGUAGCGUGAAGGAUGACUGCCCUAUGGGUUGUAAACUUCUUUUAUAUGGGAAUAAAAUGUUCCACGUGUGGGAUUUUGUAUGUACCAUAUGAAUAAGGAUCGGCUAACUCCGUGCCAGCAGCCGCGGUAAUACGGAGGAUCCGAGCGUUAUCCGGAUUUAUUGGGUUUAAAGGGAGCGUAGGUGGAUUGUUAAGUCAGUUGUGAAAGUUUGCGGCUCAACCGUAAAAUUGCAGUUGAAACUGGCAGUCUUGAGUACAGUAGAGGUGGGCGGAAUGCGUGGUGUAGCGGUGAAAUGCUUAGAUAUCACGAAGAACUCCGAUUGCGAAGGCAGUUCACUGGACUGCAACUGACACUGAGGCUCGAAAGUGUGGGUAUCAAACAGGAUUAGAUACCCUGGUAGUC
rnacentral:rRNA from 1 species